UACGUAGGGGGCAAGCGUUGUCCGGAAUCAUUGGGCGUAAAGCGCGUGUAGGCGGUCCGGUAAGUCCGCUGUGAAAGUCGGGGCUCAACCCUCGGAUGCCGGUGGAUACUGUCGGGCUUGAGUACGGAAGAGGCGAGUGAAAUUCCUGGUGUAGCGGUGAAAUGCGCAGAUAUCAGGAGGAACACCAAUUGCGAAGGCAGCUCGCUGGGACGUUACUGACGCUGAGACGCGAAAGCGUGGGGAGCAAACAGG
rnacentral:rRNA from 1 species